UCAUGGCUCGCAGAAUUCGGCAGAGUGAAGCGGCAAAGCUCAAUUUGAAUCUGGUACCUUUGGUGCCCGAGUUGUAAUUUGGAGAGUACCACUUUGGGACUGUACUUUGCCUAUGUUCCUUGGAACAGGACGUCAUGGAGGGUGACAAUC
rnacentral:rRNA from 1 species